AACGAACGCUGGCGGCAUGCCUAACACAUGCAAGUCGAACGAGACCUUCGGGUCUAGUGGCGCACGGGUGCGUAACGCGUGGGAACCUGCCCUUAGGUUCGGAAUAACUCCCCGAAAGGGGUGCUAAUACCGGAUAAUGUCUUCGGACCAAAGAUUUAUCGCCUUUGGAUGGGCCCGCGUUGGAUUAGCUAGUUGGUAGGGUAAAAGCCUACCAAGGCGACGAUCCAUAGCUGGUCUGAGAGGAUGAUCAGCCACACUGGGACUGAGACACGGCCCAGACUCCUACGGGGGGCAGCAGGGGGGAAUAUUGGAAAAGGGGCGAAAGCCGGAUCCAGCAAUGCCGGGUGAGUGAGGAAGGCCUUAGGGUUGUAAAGCUCUUUUACCCGGGAUGAUAAUGACAGUACCGGGAGAAUAAGCCCCGGCUAACCCCGU
rnacentral:rRNA from 1 species